rnacentral:rRNA from 1 species
UACGUAGGUGGCAAGCGUUGUCCGGAUUUACUGGGCGUAAAGAGCGCGUAGGCGGUCGUACAAGUCGCGUGUGAAAGCCCCCGGCUCAACUGGGGAGGGUCACGUGAUACUGUUCGACUCGAAGGCAGGAGAGGGAAGUGGAAUUCCCGGUGUAGUGGUGAAAUGCGUAGAUAUCGGGAGGAACACCAGUGGCGAAGGCGACUUCCUGGCCUGUUCUUGACGCUGAGGCGCGAAAGCUAGGGUAGCAAACGGG